rnacentral:tRNA from 2 species
GCCGGAGUGGCGGAAUUGGCAGACGCGGUGGAUUCAAAAUCCACUGUCCGAAAGGGCUUGGGGGUUCGAGUCCCCCCUCCGGUA